CGGUGUAGCUCAGUUGGUAGAGCGCCUUACUUGUAAUAAGGAUGCGGGAACGCUCAACACGCCAACCGACAGGACGAUUGUCAGCCAUUGUGUCAGCCA
rnacentral:tRNA from 1 species